UACGGAGGGAGCUAGCGUUGUUCGGAAUUACUGGGCGUAAAGCGCACGUAGGCGGCUACUCAAGUCAGAGGUGAAAGCCCGGGGCUCAACCCCGGAACUGCCUUUGAAACUAGGUGGCUAGAAUCUUGGAGAGGCGAGUGGAAUUCCGAGUGUAGAGGUGAAAUUCGUAGAUAUUCGGAAGAACACCAGUGGCGAAGGCGACUCGCUGGACAAGUAUUGACGCUGAGGUGCGAAAGCGUGGGGAGCAAACAGGAUUAGAUACCCGCGUAGUCC
rnacentral:rRNA from 1 species